CAGCAAAGAUUUCUGCCUGCUCCUUCCUCUGGAAGCUUCGUCCCAGAGGGGUACUGACCUGAUGCCAGUUGGAACUCUCCUGCAUGAGGAAGAAACUAAAUUCUAGUACUUGGAUGCCAAUUUGCUGAGGACAUGGCACUUCCUGAUAAUCAGCCUGGAAUUCCGAGCAGCAGUUUCACAACCUGUAAUUACACGUUUCUGCCCUUUGCAAUAAGGAAAUACACAGUUUCCUUUCA